rnacentral:ncRNA from 1 species
UCAAAAGUGUUGAAAGGGGCAAGUAAGUUAUUUAAUUCUAUCUUUAGCGAGCUGGGAUUGGUGAAAGCCAGCGAUAGAAGGAAUAAUUGAAAUCCCCCUGGAGCUGCAGAUUGAACGGUGAUUCCAAGUAGGUUGUGCCGGCUAGUAUCCGUUAUCCAGUACUGGAGUAUGGAGCAUAUCUGAACUUUAGAUAUGUGAGUACUUACUAAGGCUAUUGCUGUAAGGCAAUGGCAAAUUUGGGUGGUACCACGUGAGCUUAAACCUCUCGUCCCGAUU